rnacentral:rRNA from 1 species
AUUGAACGCUGGCGGCAGGCCUAACACAUGCAAGUCGAGCGAGCGGCGGACGGGUGAGUAAUGUCUGGGAAACUGCCUGAUGGAGGGGGAUAACUACUGGAAACGGUAGCUAAUACCGCAUACCAUCAGAUGUGCGCAGAUGGGAUUAGCUAGGAGGUGGGGGAAUGGCCCACCUAGGCGACGAUCCCUAGCUGGGCUGAGAGGAUGACCAGCCAAACUGGAACUGGGAACCGGGCCCAACUCCUAACGUAGGCAGCCGGGGGGAAUAUUGCACAAUGGGCGCAAGCCUGAUGCAGCCAUGCCGCGUGUAUGAAGAAGGCCUUCGGGUUGUAAAGUACUUUCAGCGAGGAGGCGUUACUCGCAGAAGAAGCACCGGCUAACUCCGUGCCAGCAGCCGCGGUAAUUUC